rnacentral:rRNA from 1 species
UACGUAGGGUGCAAGCGUUGUCCGGAAUUAUUGGGCGUAAAGAGCUCGUAGGCGGUCUGUCGCGUCUGCUGUGAAAACCUAGGGCUUAACUCUGGGCGUGCAGUGGGUACGGGCAGACUAGAGUGCGGUAGGGGAGACUGGAAUUCCUGGUGUAGCGGUGAAAUGCGCAGAUAUCAGGAGGAACACCGAUGGCGAAGGCAGGUCUCUGGGCCACUACUGACGCUGAGAAGCGAAAGCAUGGGGAGCGAACAGG